UGGGGAAUAUUGCACAAUGGGCGCAAGCCUGAUGCAGCCAUGCCGCGUGUAUGAAGAAGGCCUUCGGGUUGUAAAGUACUUUCAGCGGGGAGGAAGGUGUUGAGGCUAAUAACCUCAGCAAUUGACGUUACCCGCAGAAGAAGCACCGGCUAACUCCGUGCCAGCAGCCGCGGUAAUACGGAGGGUGCAAGCGUUAAUCGGAAUUACUGGGCGUAAAGCGCACGCGGGCGGUCUGUCAAGUCGGAUGUGAAAUCCCCGGGCUCAACCUGGGAACUGCAUUCGAAACUGGCAGGCUAGAGUCUUGUAGAGGGGGGUAGAAUUCCAGGUGUAGCGGUGAAAUGCGUAGAGAUCUGGAGGAAUACCGGUGGCGAAGGCGGCCCCCUGGACAAAGACUGACGCUCAGGUGCGAAAGCGUGGGGAGCAAACA
rnacentral:rRNA from 1 species